rnacentral:rRNA from 1 species
AUUGAACGCUGGCGGCAUGCCUUACACAUGCAAGUCGAACGGCAGCAUGGAAGAGCUUGCUCUUCUGAUGGCGAGUGGCGAACGGGUGAGUAAAGCAUCGGAACGUACCGUGUAGUGGGGGAUAACGUAGCGAAAGUUACGCUAAUACCGCAUACGCACUGAGGUGGAAAGCAGGGGAUCGCAAGACCUUGCGCUAUACGAGCGGCCGAUGUCAGAUUAGCUAGUUGGUAGGGUAAAGGCCUACCAAGGCGACGAUCUGUAGCGGGUCUGAGAGGAUGAUCCGCCACACUGGGACUGAGACACGGCCCAGACUCCUACGGGAGGCAGCAGUGGGGAAUUUUGGACAAUGGGCGAAAGCCUGAUCCAGCCAUGCCGCGUGAGUGAAGAAGGCCUUCGGGUUGUAAAGCUCUUUCGGCUGGGAAGAAAUCGCACAGGCUAAUACUCUGUGUGGAUGACGGUACCAGCACAAGAAGCACCGGCUAACUACGUGCCAGCCGCCGCAGUAA